rnacentral:rRNA from 1 species
UACGGAGGGGGCUAGCGUUGUUCGGAAUUACUGGGCGUAAAGCGCACGUAGGCGGCUUUGCAAGUUAGAGGUGAAAGCCCGGGGCUCAACUCCGGAAUUGCCUUUAAAACUGCAUCGCUAGAAUUGUGGAGAGGUAAGUGGAAGUUCCGAGUGUAGAGGUGAAAUUCGUAGAUAUUCGGAAGAACACCAGUGGCGAAGGCGACUUACUGGACACAUAUUGACGCUGAGGUGCGAAAGCGUGGGGAGCAA